CUUCAUGACAACAGAACCACAACAACCAUGACUUGUUUCACCAUCUUCAUCUGGACACUUGCUCUCUGCUUUCAAGAAUCCAGAGGACAGUACGUUGUGACUCAGACUCCUACAGUGAAAGCUGUUGUCCCAGGACAGCCAGUCUCUCUGAACUGUAAAACCAGCAGUAAUGUUUACAACAAUAACUAUCUAGCCUGGUACCAACAGAAACCUGGAGGAGCUCCUAAACUCCUUAUUUACUAUGCUUCAACACUUCAGUCUGGGACUCCAUCUAGAUUCAGUGGCAGUGGAUCUGGGAGUGACUUCACUCUGACCAUCAGUGGAGUCCAGGCUGAAGAUGCAGGAGAUUACUACUGUCAGAGUUACCACAACAUCAAUAGUAAAUAUGUGUUCACACAGUGAUACAGAGUCGUACAA